GACGAACGCCGGCGGCGUGCUUAACACAUGCAAGUCGAACGGUAAGGCCCUUCGGGGUACACGAGUGGCGAACGGGUGAGUAACACGUGGGUGAUCUGCCCUGCACUUCGGGAUAAGCCUGGGAAACUGGGUCUAAUACCGGAUAGGACCACUGCCUGCAUGGGUGGUGGUGGAAAGCUUUUGCGGUGUGGGAUGGGCCCGCGGCCUAUCAGCUUGUUGGUGGGGUGAUGGCCUACCAAGGCGACGACGGGUAGCCGGCCUGAGAGGGUGACCGGCCACACUGGGACUGAGAUACGGCCCAGACGCCUACGGGAGGCAGCAGUGGAGAAUAUUGCACAAUGGGCGCAAGCCUGAUGCAGCGACGCCGCGUGAGGGAUGACGGCCUUCGGGUUGUAAACCUCUUUCAGCACCGACGAAGCGCAAGUGACGGUAGGUGCAGAAGAAGGACCGGCCAACUACGUGCCAGCCGCCGCAGUAA
rnacentral:rRNA from 1 species